rnacentral:rRNA from 1 species
AACGAACGCUGGCGGCAUGCCUAACACAUGCAAGUCGAACGAGACCUUCGGGUCUAGUGGCGCACGGGUGCGUAACGCGUGGGAACCUGCCUUUAGGUUCGGAAUAACUCAGAGAAAUUUGAGCUAAUACCGGAUGAUGUCUUCGGACCAAAGAUUUAUCGCCUUUAGAUGGGCCCGCGUUGGAUUAGCUAGUUGGUGGGGUAAAGGCAUACCAAGGCGACGAUGCAUAGCUGGUCUGAGAGUAUGAUCAGCCACACUGGGACUGAGACACGGCCCAGACUCCUACGGGAGGCAGCAGUGGGGAAUAUUGGACAAUGGGCGAAAGCCUGAUCCAGCAAUGCCGCGUGAGUGAUGAAGGCCUUAGGGUUGUAAAGCUCUUUUACCCGAGAUGAUAAUGACAGUAUCGGGAGAAUAAGCUCCGGCUAACUCCGUG